GACCGGGAGCUUCGUGUGGAUAAUCCGUGAAGGUCAGACAUACUGUGUGGCUGCAUUGUGAUGAUUAGACCUUCUCGAUGAUGAUCAGAUUAUAGCGAUCGACUACCUGCACGAAGGUAAUGUGUUCUGAACACAUAACAGUAAAACAUUUACUGUAGAAUUUAAAAUUUUAAAUUUAAAUGCAUACUAUAUAUAUCAUAU
rnacentral:lncRNA from 1 species